UACAGAGGGUGCAAGCGUUAAUCGGAAUGACUGGGCGUAAAGGGCAUGUAGGUGGCGGUAUAGGUUUGAUGUGAAAUCCCUGGGCUUAACCUGGGAAUGGCGUUGAAGACGAUACGGCUAGAGUUUAACAGAGGGCGGCGGAAUUUCCGGUGUAGCAGUGAAAUGCGUAGAGAUCGGAAAGAACACCGGUGGCGAAGGCGGCCGCCUGGGUUGAAACUGACACUGAGGUGCGAAAGCGUGGGGAGCAAACAGG
rnacentral:rRNA from 1 species